GCUCCUCACCUGGAUCCAUCCCCCCGUGGAUCCCGCGCCUGGGAGGGAGACCAGCGCCCGGGGGAUUCCCUGCCCCUGCAGUCCCUGGGCGAUCCCCUCUUUCGGAGGACCGAGAUUUGGUGCCAGACCCUGGUCCGCCCCUCUCGAUCUACAGUCCUCGGAUUUCCAGAUCCCGGACCCAGAGCCUGCCCUCCUCCCGGGGGAUCCCAAUGCUCACCCUAUUUAACCACUGGAUCCCCGUCCAGGCGGGACUCUUGCUUGUUCCUAGACCCGAAUCCCAGCCGCAGGUGCGGCCCGGAGUCCUCAGACCCUGGCUUUGGCUGCCACCCCUUUAUCCACAGCGUGGGGGGGCUCCCGGUGCUGGAAGAAGCAGGGCCGGAUAGUUGCUGCGCCCUGCAGCAUGAUCUGUGCUGUUCCCAUUCCCAGACCUCACCAUCAAGCUAGAAGCUAGCUAAGCGUGCAGAGACGGGGGGAAUUGGAGAGAAGAAAAGGAAUGCACGCAGUCUUCUGAGGAGGUUAUUGUUGACUGUGCAGCCAUGGCCUUCUAUUUUAAAUACUUAAAGUGCAUUGGUCUUUCCGAUUUCCUAAUCCCUCAAUGCCCACUCACCCAUUGUGCUUAUUUUAUUCCUCCCCCCUCCAAGUCCCAAAGGCUAAAGGAGCCAAAAAUGCAGAGGAAGAGUUGUGGUGGAGUCUGCCACGAGAAGGGCGAUCAGUUUGAAGACUUGGAUUAACUUCUGAAUAUCACUCAAGGUGUUGAAUGCCUGGCACUGUUCCUCCACUGGGAACAUCAUAUCAGUGCGUCUAAAGGCAAAAAGGAGCCACAAUGCUCUUCUGGCUUUAGACCACGAAGGCAGGAAUGAAGACUGGGGGGCUUUCGGAGGGAGAAUGGAACAGGCGCUCAGGCAUGAUUGGCAGAGCCCUGUGCAUGUGGUUUGUUUGAUUUGGUUUUAUGUCUGCAUGUUUGUGCUCUUCCUGUUUUCAGAGAACAGUGGCAAUAUUCCGUGAAAUUACCCUUCCUUAUUUGAUUAAGAGUUUGUAUUUCUUUCCUAUCCUUUGAAUUAUACUCUAGAAAGAAAAGACCAUGUUUCACUCUUCAGUGCACAAACAUUAAAACAGUGUUAAAGAAAAGAAAAAAAAAACACUUCAUUUAGGAUCCUACUGUCUCACCUGAUUGAAAUAUGUUUUUUUGCUGGACCCUAACCCAUUACAGUUGUAAUGUGAUUUUACGCUCUAUUCAUUUAAAAAUGAAAAAAAAUAGAGGUAUUUUCUUCUGCUGUGGCAUAGACUUUGUAAUUUUCCCAGUGGAUGCACAAUAUCCAUGGCUAUUUAAUAGUUAUUUUCUAGAUGACAUCUAGACCUACCCUGAUUUUCUUUGAAGACUGAGGCAUCCCAUAGUUUUUUGGUUUUGUAUCCUAGACUAGAUUGGAAAGACUACUAUUUCUGAGGGCCAAUUUGAGCUUAGAAAUGAAGCCUGAGAGGAAAAAGUAAUACUAUGAAAAAAGUCCUGGUUUUUGUGGUCCACACACUGAAAUGUUAGGAGUACUGUUUCCUCAACUUGUGAAGCCGUGUUCAUUAUAUGUCUUUUGAGCGUUUGGGGCAGUUGCAAGUAGGUAAAUUACAAAGGAACAGAGGGAAGGCAGGCACUGUCUUUAACGCGUGUGCGCCUUCUGAUAGAUUUUAUCAGGACUCCCUGUUGAAGAGCAUUUGAUUGCAGCAAACACAUUUCAUCAGGCCAUAGUUUGUGGCUUUGCCCAAAUUACAAGAAAACCCGAACACUCCGCUGGUUUGUUCAUAAUGGACACUUGGCGGUCCUCGUAACGUUGGGUCAGCCGGCAGCGUUCUGCCAUUGCUGUGGAGCAAGGCUGCGAGGACUUAGCCCGCUGUCCUGAGUGGGGGGCUUUAUGCACGCAGGGCUUCUUAAAAGAGCUUAGGAUAUGAAAAAUUCCACUGGGGCCCAGCGUAUUGUCUUUUUUUUUUUGCUUUAUCCCUUCUACAUUUCUGCCCUCCCUUCCCCUCCCCACCCCCAGUCCUUCUCUCCCUUUCACAGCAUCUGGCUGAUUAGAAUAACUGCUAACGUUGAGUGCCAACCUUUGCCCAGGUAGUGGGUAUUUGUGUACAGGGGUGAGCAAAAGAGGGCUUACAAUUGUGACAUUGUUUUGAGUUGAUAAAGCUGUCGUAAU